AAGGCCUUAGCUUAAUUAAAGUGUCUGAGUUGCAUUUAGAAGAUGUAGGAUAAAGUCCUGCAGGUUUUA
rnacentral:tRNA from 1 species